rnacentral:lncRNA from 10 species
CCUUUCCCUUAGCUCUCUCAUUCUCUCUUGCCUGCCGCCAUGUAACAUGUGCCUUUUGCCUUCUGCCAUGAUUGUGAGGCCUCCCCAGACAUGUGGAACUAACUUGGAAACAGAAAUUCUGAGAUGGGAAGAAACCUACAUAUUAUCCAGAAGGAUCCCCAGGCCCUUUCUGAUAUGGAGAGCAGUGAAGUCCAUGCUAAAUCCAGGCACCUCUUGAGUGCAGGUCCUGGAGGAGCUUCCAAAGGGAAGACAACUCUGAAAGGAAUCAGCCAACCAUAGCCUUGCUAUAUCCUGGGGUCUUGGAUAAUGUAGAAGAGUAAAAUCUAAGUCUUGCUUACAGAAUCUGAAGAAACUCUUCUGACUUCAAAGCUCAAUUCUGUGCCAUGGAAAUCAGAUAUACUAUAUCAUAUCUCAACUUAAGUGCAAAGGAGCAAACUCUGGCAAAACUUUAUGUAAAGGAAGAACUUUCUCCUCUUCUCUCCCCAUAUCAUCAUAGCAGCUACAUCCUACAAACACACAGCGGCUGUUAUCAGAAAUCAACUUGUGAAAGUCACCUCUACCCAUAGAUGAGGUUGUGAUGGUUUCAUCCAAAUGAUUUUAUGGCCUGUGAAGCAGUCAUUUGGAUCAAGGUUAACAAAUUCUUGGUAUCAGAGGUGCUACUGAGGACUCCACAUACCGAUACCAAUAAAUAAUGUCCAUACAACGAAGGUGGUGUUGGUUGAUACGGUUUGGAUCUGUGUCCCCACCCAAAUCGCAUGUUGAAUUGUAAUCCCCCAGUAUUGGAGGUGGGGCCUGGUGGGAGGUAACUGGAUCAUGGGGUUGGAUUUCCCUAUUGCUGUUCUCAUGAUAGUGAGUGAGUUGUCAUGAGAUCUGGUUGUUUAAAAGUGUGUAAUACCUCCCACUCACCUUCCUCCUGCUGUGGCCAUGGAAGAUGUGCCUCCUUCACCUUCCACCAUGACUGUGUUUCCUGAGGCCUUCCCAGAAACUGAGCAGAUGCCACCAUGCUUCCUGUACAAUCUACAGAACCUUGAGCCAAUUAAACCUUUUUUUUAUAAAUUAC